UCAAUUCAACAAUCUCACCUCACAGCAGACGACGGACAUCUGAAACCAGUGUCUAUUUCAGCGGGAACAAUGGACAGGAAGAACCCUACCACAGAGAACGAUGGACCAAAGGAUCAAGCAUCCAACCCAUCUCAGGAGAAUGUCGGAGGACAAGAAAAGAUGUCCAACAUUAAAGGUGGAGUGAAAGACAACGUAGUUCGUGGCGAUCAGAAAAUUAUCUCUAAUGUUAACAUGGGAUCAGUUUCAGGGAAUUCUAGCAUCGGCUGAGGAAAUUGCUGCCCUGCAGAUGAAAAGGACGACUCUUAAAAAAACAAAAAAACAAUUUGUUUCAUUGUGAGAUAUUUGAAAUGUCCUUGAACACAGUAUUGAAAAAUGUUCAAUUCCAAAAAUAAAGUCUACAUACUGUA